UGGGGUAUAGCUCAGUUGGUAGAGUGCUUGCCUCUCAUGCACCAGGCCCUGGGUUCAAUCCCCAGCACCACAG
rnacentral:tRNA from 1 species